rnacentral:lncRNA from 1 species
UAUUGUUGUUAUUUUUCAUUACCCCUUGAAGAACCCCAAGAAUUUGAGAGCCAACGAACAAAGCUAAUCCGCCCAAGAAAUUAGUGCAUGUGUAUUCUCAGUGUAUGUCACACUUAUUUUUUAGAUAUAUUUGCCAGGAAAAUUACUGCAAGUUAAGUGUGUUUAAUUUCUGAACGAGACUUUGAUAGUUAUUGGAGUUAUUCCCUAUUCCUGGGAAAAGAAAUCCGUCCGCCACCAAAGAACAAAAAAAACGGCUAAUUAUAAUAUCUGGUUCCCUACCACAUUGAUUCUGUAAGCAUACUUGCGAGUACCAUUUGUCCUAUAUAUUACAUUCAACUAUUUAAAUCGUAGGGGAAGAUGGUGGAACGGUAUGUGCAAAUGUUGAGAAAAUCUGAGUACAUCCAGCUGUUAGGGAAUACGUCGUUUACCUAGGUAGCUGUGGUCAGUUAUUCAUGUACUUAGGAAUUAAUGUACAGUCAGAAAUGUACCUGUUUAACUCCAUUUGUGCCUAUUGCUGCAGCCAGGAAAGGAGUUCUGUUUUCGUCCUUAACCGAAAGAUUCUGAUCAAGUACCAUCUUCAUAGCUUGAACGAGGUGAUUUCCUCCCAGUGCAUACAAGUUUACUGAAGAAAGCAUCUCUUCCUUGAAAGAGUCUGUGGAUUCCACCUUUUAAUGUAUACAUGCAAAUGCAUAUUGGCAGGUACAGAAAAAGGUACCUGCACCAAAGCCUAUUGCUUUUGCUCUGGAAAGUGGAAGUAUAUAAUUGUUCUUCUGUCAGAACUAUGCAUUGAGUGAGUCUUUGGAGAGUAUAAGAUGGUAAUUGAAAUAAACUGAAUGAAACAGCUUUCAAGUCUCAAAGUUUGAUGUUAAAAGGCUGCUGACUCUCCUCAACUGUGAAACCAGUUCCUACAGCUGGCUACUUGAAUGACCGGGAAUCUCAUGUACAUGUUUCAGAAACAGCAUUACUUUGAGAUAAGACUUGCUUACCGGUAAACUGAAUUACAUGUCUCCCAUAUGAAAAAAAACGUCAUAUUAUUUUAUGUGUACUAUUGAUUGUGAUUCUUCUUAAUUUAAUCUGCCUGAAGUUAUAACCGUAGUCUUACAUUUUUUGAAGGUGUUGAAUGUAAAAAAAAAUAUUUUUCAUUUAAUGAUGUAGGAGCGACUUUUUUCUAACGUUAAGAAUUUUGUCAUACUCUGUGCGCUUGAAGAACAUUAGUUUCUAAGACAAACAAGAGAAGAAAA